UACGUAGGCCUCAAGCGUUAUCCGGAUUUACUGGGCGUAAAGCGUGCGCAGGCGGCCCGUUAAGACAGGUGUGAAAUCCCUGGGCUCAACCUAGGAAUUGCGCUUGUGACUGGCGGGCUCGAGUACGGUGGAGGGGGGUGGAAUUCCUGGUGUAGCAGUGAAAUGCGUAGAGAUCAGGAGGAACACCGAUGGCGAAGGCAGCCCCCUGGGCCUGUACUGACGCUCAUGCACGAAAGCGUGGGGAGCAAACAGG
rnacentral:rRNA from 1 species